CUAAGCAUUUCUCUAGCCCUAAAAAUAUCUUUUAAGGGCUGAAGAGAUGGCUUAG
rnacentral:miRNA from 1 species